UGCAUGUGGCCUAAUGGUUAGAGAGUCGGACUUACAACCUGAAGGUCGUGGGUUCGAGUCUCAGGCCGGCAG